UUUAUUCUUAUCGAAUCAAAUAACUACAUUUUCCCCACGAUUAACUAUAAUAAUUCCAAUCCGUCCAGCGGAUGUCGAGCGCGGGUGAGAAAACCGAUUUGAUCGUUUAGCGGAUUGGAUUUAAGGGGGAGGAGGGGGUUGAUUUUUAAUCAAUGUUUCAAUCGAUUACUUAAAGAUGGCAGUACUGUCGUCUGCUUUCGAUUUGUUUACAAGUUUUGAAGUAGAGAGGAAGUUUUUAAAGAUUAUAAAGAAAACGAAGCAAUCACAUAUUUGGAAAGCCGGAAAGGUACACGUGACUGCACGAAAAAGUAGAACAAGAAAAUUACAAGAAUGUGGUCGUCGUUUGAGCCCUGAUCGUCUACACAUCCAUGUAUCCACCUGUUUAGCAGAUUUGAGACCUGAGCCUGCCAUAAUAACCACAAGAUAUGCAAGUUUUGCUUGUGUUGGACCUGUCAUCAGCAUCAUUGCUAAGAUACACUAACAUUCCACUUGAUUGGCUUUCUUCUUCUUAUUACCGAUGUCGGUCAAGUUACGGAUCUCUUCUUCCGAGAACGCCUUUCAUUCCUAUCCCGCUUGGUGGAUUAUUCCAUUUUUCUGCGAAUGGAGCACUUGAUGAUGCCUGGCCGUAUUUCCCGGGCGUAAAGAAUUCGAAGGAAUCGCCUUUGGGCCGACGACUAAUUAAAUUGCUGCGUCGUCGAUUCAACUGAUAGUCAAGCGGCGACAGCUGGGCGUAUGCUGGAUUAAUUCCAUCACGAAAGAUGCACAAUCACUUGAAUUCUACUGCAAUAAAUCGAUCUUUAUCCGUAAUGUACGUCCGUUGGUUGCGAGCAGUGGCGAAAUACUGCUCUUCGGAAGUGAAGUACGUCCCUCGCUUAUAUGCGUAUUGCGCUCACGGUCCCGAUUCCACUUCAAGAUUCUAUUUCAUCUUUCUCUCAUUCGAUACAUAUUGUUCUUCACUGGAAUUCAACUGUCACUCCACUGCAUCCUACGUAAUUGGCAAGUUUAUUCUAUUUGUUUGUAAAUUAUUACAAAUUGUAUAGUUUCA